CAAAAAGGACCUUGCUGUGAUUUAUGUCAUAGAGUGUUCUGCCUAUGUUUUCCUCUAAGAGUUUGAUAGUGUCUGGCCUUUCAUUUAGGUCUUUAAUCCAUUUUGAGUUUAUUUUUGUGUAUGGUGUUAGGGAGUGUUCUAAUUUCAUUCUUUUACAUGUAGCUGUCCAGUUUUCCCAGCACCACUUAUUGAAGAGGCUGUCUUUUCUCCAUUGUAUAUUCUUGCCUCCUUUAUCAAAGAUAAGAGGGUGUGGAGAAAAAGGAACCCUCUUGCACUGUUGGUGGGAAUGUAAAUUGAUACAGCCACUAUGGAGAACAGUAUGGAGGUUCCUUAAAAAACUAAAAAUAGAACUACCAUGUGACCCAGCAAUCCCACUACUGGGCAUAUACCCAGAGAAAACCAUAAUUCAGAAAGACACAUGCACCCCAAUGUUCACUGCAGCACUAUUUACAAUAGCCAGGACAUGGAAGCAACCUAAAUGCCCAUCGACAGACGAAUGGAUAAAGAAGACGUCAGCCAUAAAAAGGAACGAAGUUGGGUCAUUUGUAGAGACGUGGAUGGACCUAGAGACUGUCAUACAGAGUGAAGAAAGUCAGAAAGAGAAAAACAAAUGUUGUAUAUUAACGCAUAUAUGUGGAACCUAGAAAAAUGGGACAGAUGAACUGGUUUGCAGGGCAGAAAUAGAGACACAGAUGUAGAGA